rnacentral:rRNA from 1 species
AUUGAACGCUGGCGGCAUGCCUUACACAUGCAAGUCGAACGGCAGCACGGACUUCGGUCUGGUGGCGAGUGGCGAACGGGUGAGUAAUGUAUCGGAACGUACCUUUCAGUGGGGGAUAACGUAGCGAAAGUUACGCUAAUACCGCAUAUUCUGUGAGCAGGAAAGCAGGGGAUCGAAAGACAUUGCGCUGAUUGAUCGGCCGAUAUCAGAUUAGCUAGUUGGUGGGGUAAAGGCCUACCAAGGCGACGAUCCGUAGCGGGUCUGAGAGGAUGAUCCGCCACACUGGAACUGAGACACGGUCCAGACUCCUACGGGAGGCAGCAGUGGGGAAUUUUGGACAAUGGGGGCAACCCUGAUCCAGCCAUGCCGCGUGAGUGAAGAAGGCCUUCGGGUUGUAAAGCUCUUUCGGCAGGGAAGAAAUAGCAUAGGCUAAUACCCUGUGUGGAUGACGGUACCGGAAGAAGAAGCACCGGCUAACUACGUG